rnacentral:lncRNA from 1 species
CUGGGUACCACUUGGCAGGGCUGUUAGGAGGGCUGGUCCCAGGCUCCAAGUUCUAAGCAAAGCUUGAGCAUUCAGGCCAGGUCUGCAGCCCAGGAAGUUUACACACAAACAUAUGAGUCAAGAAGAGCUUCAAGGACAGGGUGAGCAGUGGGUCAGGGGGCAGGUAGCCAGGCAAGGGCAAGGCUGACUGGCAGGCGAGCACCAGAAAGGGAGGCAUCCAGACUCCUUGACCUUCUUGACGUAUGUCUGUGACCCUCGUUCCAGGAAGAAGAGCCCAAGGACCGUAGCAAGGCCCUGAUUCUGGGAGACGAGAGAACACGCUGACUUAGAAUGCUUGUCUCUGCAUCCUGGUCAGAAAGUAGAUGGACGACACUUUCAUCUCCGACUGGAUUUUGGUGAGAGAUGGGCAAACCCCGGGCUCUAGGCUGGAGCAGCAGCUCUUGUAUCCACACAAAAUCAGGACUGGUGGAGGGAGCCAUCUUCAAACAUAAAUUUGGUGAGUUUAACAAUCAGAGAUUUGAAAAACACAGAAAUGAACAUUUCUGAUCAAUGACACUGCUGAUCUGAUGCAUCAUAACAGAAACCAGUCAUCAAGGUACAACAAACUGUUCCAAACCACUGAGAAAUGGCUUGUCUGUGGGCUCCCAGUUCAAAUGCUCACAAACCUGGGAGGCUGGUUGAUCAGGGUUGGGAGGGAGGGUCUAGCCAUAGCUCAGCAGCUUCCCUAAGGUUGUUGUGCAUGUCCCUAGCUGGCUUAGUUUGGGCUGAUGUCUUUUACGUGUAGUUCUAGAUGGUUUGAACAUAUUGGCUGUUUCUCGUUUUCUUCUGUUUAAGCGUCUUUUGGCAAUGCACUCCUUGGGUUUGGAAGCUUCCCUCCAAGAUGCUGAGCCCAAUGUUUGGGGAAAGCCAGGGAAACAGAUGCUGGGUCAGUGCUGCUCCCACCUCCUCUGCUCCCCUCCUGAGGGCUCCACUGAGUCACCAGCCAGCAAACAGCCCAUGCGCCCUGGAGCAGAUGGACUGUGGGUACACGAGCCUCUGAACUCUUGGGCAGCAUGGGCACAACAUCCUUUUGGCCUCACCCAAUGACCUGGCUGCCUCCUAAGACGAUGUUGCUGGAUGUCCCCUGCUGACCCCACAGACUGGCUCCUCUGGUGUCCGCUGACUUGGCCUGGUGAGAAGGGCAGGGCCAGGCCCUUCCCUGUCUCGACCUGCAUUCCCACCCAACACAGCAAGCUAUUUUGAAAAAACUUCUCUAUCAGUUCUUGUGAGUUAUUUGUCUAAUAAACAACAUUGUGAAAAUGAAGCAUUCAUGUAUUUGUAUAUUGACAAGAGAUAACCAAUUCCCUCAACAAUUUUACAAUUUCAAAUUAGGAUAACAUCCUUUUUUGGAGCUCUUCAAACAUCUUAGGGAACACACGCACAUAUUU